ACUUUUCUCCUUUCUCUAAUAAUCACUAAUCACAAUUAUGGCCACUAAUUCAAAAAAAGUGACAAAAUCUUUUACUAAUUCCUGUCCUUCGACUUCCCUUCUCCUCCGUCGCGAGACGACAGCAGCGACUGCUGUCGUUGUGGAUGACGGUCCGCAGAAGUGGACCGUCAUCCCAUCUGUGGAUGAUAAUAAGCAGAAGAAAACGUCAUCAUCAGCUAUAGCUUCAUUGGCAAGUAAUACUGAACCUCUUCCCUCCAAUACUUCAACCAAAGGUAAUACUUUAGGAUUUGUCUAUUCCAUAUUAGUUAAUCAUUUUAUUUUAUUAUAGAGACGAAUAAUAUAUAUUUUCUUCCUUUCAAGUACUUUGUCAUGUUUGAUUU
rnacentral:lncRNA from 1 species